rnacentral:rRNA from 1 species
AAUUUCUGCUGCUCCGCACUUUCUUCCCGUUAUGGAGGUUGUGCGCCGUGGCUUAUUUCGGACUGUGUUAUGCACUGUCCGGAUGUUUACUUUGAGAAAAUUAGAGUGCUCAAAGCAGGCUUUUGCCUUGAAUAGUUUAGCAUGGAAUAAUAAAGUAGGACUUUGGUUCUAUUUUGUUGGUUUUAGGUACCAAAGUAAUGGUUAAUAGGAACAGUUGGGGGCAUUCGUAUUUAACUGUCAGAGGUGAAAUCCUUAGAUUUGUUAAAGACGAACUACUGCGAAAGCAUUUGCCAAGGAUGUUUUCAUUAAUCAAGAACGAAAGUUAGGGGAUCGAAGACGAUCAGAUACCGUCGUAGUCCUAACCAUAAACUAUGCCGACUAGAGAUU